UUUAUUUGAGAGUUUGAUCCUGGCUCAGGAUGAACGCUGGCGGCGUGCCUAACACAUGCAAGUUGAGCGAUUUACUUCGGUAAAGAGCGGCGGACGGGUGAGUAACGCGUGGGUAACCUACCCUGUACACACGGAUAACAUACCGAAAGGUAUGCUAAUACGGGAUAAUAUAUUUGAGAGGCAUCUCUUGAAUAUCAAAGGUGAGCCAGUACAGGAUGGACCCGCGUCUGAUUAGCUAGUUGGUAAGGUAAUGGCUUACCAAGGCGACGAUCAGUAGCCGACCUGAGAGGGUGAUCGGCCACAUUGGAACUGAGACACGGUCCAAACUCCUACGGGAGGCAGCAGUGGGGAAUAUUGCACAAUGGGCGAAAGCC
rnacentral:rRNA from 1 species